rnacentral:rRNA from 1 species
AUUGAACGCUGGCGGCAGGCUUAACACAUGCAAGUCGAGCGGGGGAAGGUAGCUUGCUACCUAACCUAGCGGCGGACGGGUGAGUAAUGCUUAGGAAUCUGCCUAUUAGUGGGGGACAACAUUUCGAAAGGGAUGCUAAUACCGCAUACGCCCUAAGGGGGAAAGCAGGGGAUCUUCGGACCUUGCGCUAAUAGAUGAGCCUAAGUCGGAUUAGCUAGGUGGUGGGGUAAAGGCCUACCAAGGCGACGAUCUGUAGCGGGUCUGAGAGGAUGAUCCGCCACACUGGGACUGAGACACGGCCCAGACUCCUACGGGAGGCAGCAGUGGGGAAUAUUGGACAAUGGGGGGAACCCUGAUCCAGCCAUGCCGCGUGUGUGAAGAAGGCCUUUUGGUUGUAAAGCACUUUAAGCGAGGAGGAGGCUACCGAGAUUAAUACUCUUGGAUAGUGGACGUUACUCGCAGAAUAAGCACCGGCUAACUCUGUGCCAGCCGCCGCUGUAAAAC